rnacentral:rRNA from 1 species
AAUAGAUACCCAGGUAGUCCACGCCGUAAACGGUGGGCACUAGGUGUGGGCGACAUUCCACGUCGUCCGUGCCGCAGCUAACGCAUUAAGUGCCCCGCCUGGGGAGUACGGCCGCAAGGCUAAAACUCAAAAGAAUUGACGGGGGCCCGCACAAGCGGCGGAGCAUGUGGCUUAAUUCGACGCAACGCGAAGAACCUUACCAAGGCUUGACAUACACCGGAAACGUCCAGAGAUGGGCGCCCCCUUGUGGUCGGUGUACAGGUGGUGCAUGGCUGUCGUCAGCUCGUGUCGUGAGAUGUUGGGUUAAGUCCCGCAACGAGCGCAACCCUUGUCCCGUGUUGCCAGCAGGCCCUUGUGGUGCUGGGGACUCACGGGAGACCGCCGGGGUUCAACUCGGAGGAAGGUGGGGACGACGUCAAGUCAUCAUGCCCCUUAUGUCUUGGGCUGCACACGUGCUACAAUGGCCGGUACAAUGAGCUGCGAUACCGCGAGGUGGAGCGAAUCUCAAAAAGCCGGUCUCAGUUCGGAUUGGGGUCUGCUAACC